GCCCGAGUGAUGGAAUAGGUAGACAUGCAGGACUUAAAAUCCUGUGGCCAUAAUUUGGCCAUGCGGGUUCAAUUCCCGCCUCGGGUA
rnacentral:tRNA from 1 species